GACGAACGCUGGCGGCGUGCUUAACACAUGCAAGUCGAACGUGAUUUUUGUGGAAAUUCUUUCGGGCAUGGAAAUGAAAUGAAAGUGGCGAACGGGAGAGUAACACGUGAGCAACCUACCUGACACAGGGGGAUAGCCGUUGGAAACGACCACUAAUACCGCAUGAGACAACAGAAUCGCAUUAUGUAGCGUUCAAAGAUUGAUCGGUGUAAGAAGGGCUCGCGUCUGAUUAGCUAGGUGGACGAGUAAAGGCCUACCAAGGCGCCGAUCAGUAGCUGGUCUGAGAGGAUGGACGGGCAUAUUGGAACUGAGACACGGUCCAAACUCUGAAGGGAGGCAGCAAUGGUGAAUAUUGCACAAUGGGGGGAACCCUGAGGCAGCGACGUCGUGUGAGCGAAGAAGGGGGUAGAAACGUAAAGCUCUGUCCAAUGAGAAGAUAAGGACGGUAUCAUAGGAGGAAGCCCCGGUAAAAUACGU
rnacentral:rRNA from 1 species